CAGGAGGGAAUAUUGUCACUCCGGGGCUUCCGUCCAGUCGGCGAGGCGUAGCUGGGUGUGCCUUUCCGUGUUUGCCGUAGGCCGACAUGGCGGAGUAUUCCUGCGUUAAAUCAACCAAGCUCGUCCUCAAAGGGGCGAAAGAGAAAAGCAAGAAAAAGCACAAAGAGAAGAAAAGGAAAAGGGAAGAGGAUGCGGCAGAACAACUCGAUAUUGUCGGAAACUGGUGGGCUGUCAAUAAUUUCGGUGAAAUUACAGGAACUAUAGCUAUAGAAAUGGAUAAAGGAGCUUACAUCCAUGCCCUCGACAACGGCUUGUUUACGCUUGGAGCACCACAUAAAGAUGAUGAAGGCCCUAGCCCUCCUGAACAGUUUACAGCAGUAAAGUUGUCUGAUACGAGGAUUGCUCUGAAGUCUGGUUAUGGCAAAUACCUUGGUAUCAAUUCAGAUGGACUUGUUAUUGGACGUUCAGAUGCGAUAGGAUCAAGAGAGCAAUGGGAACCUGUCUUCCAAGAUAAGAAAAUGGCAUUACUAGCAGCAAAUAGCCGCUUUAUUAGAUGUAAUGAAGAGGGAGACAUAGAAGCCAAAAGCAAAACUGCAGGGGAAGAAGAAAUGAUAAAGAUUCGUACUUGUGCUGAAAGAGAAGCUAAGAAGAAAGAUGAUGUUCCACAAGAAGACAAAGGAAAUGUUAAACAGUGUGAAAUCAAUUAUGUAAAGAAAUUCCAAAGUUUUCAAGACAAAAAGCUUAAAAUAAGCAAAGAAGAUACAAAAGCCCUUAGAAAAGCCAGGAAAGAAGGCACUUUUCAUGAAAUGCUGCUUGACAGGAGAGCAAAAGUGAAAGCGGAUAGAUACUGCAAGUGACAACGAACUGGUCCAUUUUCUUCUGCAUCUUUGAUGAUAGAGUCAAAUUGAAGAGUAAAAUGUUUUAUAAUUUUUUUUUUUAUUGAAGGCGUUUUGCUGUUGUUUUUAUUACGUUAUUUUUAAAGGAUCACCUGAGAGCUAUAAUUAAGCAUCAAACUAAUGUAAUCUUUCAUUAAUGAAUACCAUUAAGUUUACUCUAAAACUACAUGCUAUUGAAAUAGUGAGGUAAUUAUUUAAUGGCAAAGAAAUUGACCCACUGAAUCUUCCAAGGUUGAUGAAAGGAACCUGAACUUAGAGACAGGGCAGAAGAGAACGACGAUGAGGUUCAAAAGUAAGAAAUAUGUAACUGUAUUGAACAAGAAGAAAUAAUUCAAAAUGCAUGUCUUGGAACACCAUCCUAUCAGGUUCUGAGUAGGAGAUCUGUGGAGCCAUUCUACACCACAUCAGGUGAGGACUGGGCCAGAAUAUUCAGGCUUCAUAAAACAAUGUUCAAAACAGACCCGCUGUUCAAGUUGAUAAGUGGCAUAAUCCAUAUGCUGGAAAAAGUGUUGACAAGUCACAAGAACCCUGUUACAAAUGAAAAUACAAGUGCUUCAUAAGAAAAGGGGACGGCUCUUCUGUGUUAGCAGGCCGCUUAUUUUACAAGAGGGACAAAUUGAUCUUGCACACUUCAUGGUUUCUCUGCGGCGUGGACUUUAAUUUGUUUAAUACAACAGCAGGGACUCUUUUUAAAGUCAUAAUAUAGUAUGCAUUCCUGGUAUCAAAAUAUGGUUAUACCUGUCUCCUCUGAUUACGAAGAAGCUUUUCAGUAACAACAUCUCCAUAGGAACUACCUCAGUCAGAACAAUUGCUUACUGUCUCCACAGCUUCUGAAAUCUGUGUCAUAAAGAUUAUUGGAUUUUUGAAAACUGACAGAGGAAACCUAGUCAAGAAAAUGGAGGACUUAAAGUACUGCCGUGGACCCUGAAGACAAGGCGUUCUGAUAGGAACACAGCAGAAUAGCCAUAGUCAGAGAAACAUGGGUGCUGGAGGAUGUUAACUGUUUCUUAAACUGAGAAUUUCUUCACUGGUGAAAGAACUAAACCAGAAGUACAAAGAGGCUUCAAAAAAGUAAGUUGUGAAUGUGUAAUGAGACGAUGGCAUAAUUUUGUCUUCAGAGCAUUCAAAAAGAGUUUUUUCCUUUUCCAAAGUCAUCAUUUAUUGUCUACUGUUAAAAGUGUCCUAAAGAUAGUAAAACAUAUAAAUAAAGGUCGUAAAGCACCUACAAGCUGUCUGCUCCAGAAAUAAAGCUGAGCAAAAAGGGCUGCAGAUGUUUAGAAAGUAACAGGACCAACUUAAUCUGACUAUUUCUUACCAUAGACUGUAAUAGUAUAUUCAGCUACCUGCAAGUAAGUACAGAAUUAUUGUCUUCAACCAAAAAAAUUUGCCUGAGCCCUGUAGAAACUGCCCUAUUUCCUAUUUGUGAAAGCCACUCUCAUGAAAAUCUCAAGGUUUUUCCUGUUAUGCUGUAUUUUUCCUCAUUUCCUAGAUCCCUCAAUUAGUUCUGUAUCUUUUUCCACCAGUGCUUACCUCUUCCCUGCCUUGGUCUCUAAAGCUCCAUGCAAUUCCAAGCUUGCGUUCCCAGAUGAUUCCUUCCUACGUGCUGCUGCACGCCCUCCCUUUGCCCGAGGCUUUCACUCAUUACAAUGUGUUUCUUUUACCCUUUCCCGUUUCUUAAUUUCUGCAGUGCCAUGCAGCUUUCAAAUCAACCUUCUGCCAAGGACUUCCCUUCUUGCCACCCCCGGUUUGUUUUAUAAGAGAGUUAAUUGCACAGCCAAUUAAGUCAUGAUAUUAAAGACUCUGUUGCUUCUUUUCUGUGUGCUUAAAAACAUGUGACAUGUCUUGGGCACUGCAUAAAGCACAAGACACAAACUAAAACACAGGCAUCCUAGAAGGUUUUUAAUACUUAAUUCGUGGUGCUUCCAACACGUGUUGCUAAUAUAUACGCUUACUAUACAUUCAUUUGCUCAAAAUUAUACCUUUUUAUUGUAAGCUAUUUGGAGUAUGCACCUUAUUCUGCUACUGGCUUGUACUUGAUAUUACAACAAAUAUAGCAUUUAUGUAUAAUAGUGAAUAAAUAAUGGGCAAUGUGCUGAGAUGGAUGCAUCUCAU